CCUACGGGAGGCAGCAGUGAGGAAUAUUGGUCAAUGGGCGUAAGCCUGAACCAGCCAAGUCGCGUGAGGGAUGAAGGUUCUAUGGAUCGUAAACCUCUUUUAUAAGGGAAUAAAGUGUGGGACGUGUCCUAUUUUGUCUGUACCUUAUGAAUAAGGAUCGGCUAACUCCGUGCCAGCAGCCGCGGUAAUACGGAGGAUCCGAGCGUUAUCCGGAUUUAUUGGGGUUAAAGGGUGCGUAGGCGGCCUUUUAAGGCAGCGGUGAAAGCCUGUGGCUCAACCAGAGGAUUGCCGUUGAAACUGGGGGGCUUGAGUGUAUUUGGGGCAGGCGGAAUGCGUGGUGUAGCGGUGAAAUGCUUAGAUAUCAGGCAGAACCCCGAUGGCGAAGGCAGCCUGCCAAGCCAUGACUGACGUUGAGGCACGAAAGCGUGGGGAUCAAACAGGAUUAGAUACCCCGGUAGUC
rnacentral:rRNA from 1 species